UGGAUUAAGAUGGUCUCUGGGCUGGGCGCGGUGGCUCACGCCUGUAAUCCCAGCACUUUGGGAGGCCAAGGCGGGCGGAUCACCUGAGGUUGGGAAUUCGAGAUCAGCCUGACCAAUAUGGUGAAACCCCAUCUCCUAAAAAUACAAAAAAUUAGCCCAGUGUGGUGGUGGGUACCAAGUAGUCCCAGCUACUUGGGAGACUGAGGUAGGACAAUCCCUUGAAUCUGGGAGGCGGAGGUUGCAGUGAGCCGAGAUCGCGCCACUGCACUCCAGCCUGGGCGCGACAGAGAGAGACUCUGUCUCCAAAAAAAAAAAGGUCUCUGUGUGGUGGGUCCUGGUAUUGUUCUAGGUCACUUGCCAAGUGCUGUGUGUAUUCAGUGGGCUGAUGGGGCAAUGCAUGUUUGUUUCCUGAUUGGCCUUUCAGAAAUAAGUGGAAAUGUUUUUGAUUCUCUUUCAGGCUCAGUUAGCUCUAGAGGCCAUUCUUUUGCUGAUCCUGCCAGUAAUCUUGGGCUGGAAGACAUUAUCAGGAAGGCUCUCAUGGGAAGCUUUGAUGACAAAGUUGAGGAUCAUGGAGUUGUCAUGUCCCAGCCUAUGGGAGUAGUGCCUGGUACUGCCAACACCUCAGUUGUGACCAGUGGUGAGACACGAAGAGAGGAAGGGGACCCAUCACCUCAUUCAGGAGGAGUUUGCAAACCAAAGCUGAUCAGCAAGUCAAACAGCAGGAAAUCUAAGUCUCCUAUACCUGGGCAAGGCUACUUAGGAACCGAACGGCCCUCUUCAGUCUCCUCUGUACAUUCAGAAGGGGAUUACCAUAGGCAGACGCCAGGGUGGGCCUGGGAAGACAGGCCCUCUUCAACAGGCUCAACUCAGUUUCCUUAUAACCCUCUGACUAUGCGGAUGCUCAGCAGUACUCCACCAACACCGAUUGCAUGUGCUCCCUCUGCUGUGAACCAAGCAGCUCCUCACCAACAGAACAGGAUCUGGGAGCGAGAGCCUGCCCCACUGCUCUCAGCACAGUACGAGACCCUGUCGGAUAGUGAUGACUGAACUGCACAAAGUGAGGGGAACAGGGUGCAGGAGAGGGAUCUCUAGUUUUUGUGGUUUAAUUUUUAGUAGCAGGUCAAAAACCUGCCCUCCUGUGACUUAUUCCCUGAGACUUUUCAGGAGAGCCAGCCCACAGAUGAUGAAGAAAUGAUGGAAAUUCAUUUGGAGAGUCAAAUGGGAAAAAAACAAACAAAAAACUGCCUUUGAUACAGGCAAUUCAGUGGACUAUAAUAAUAGUGGAGGGUUGAGAUGUAGAGUUUUUAAAAAGUGAACAGUUGCUGUUCUUACAUCUGUAAAGAAAACCAUAAUGU
rnacentral:sRNA from 1 species